CCUUAACUCAGUUGGUAGAGUGCCUGCUUUGCAAGCAGGAUGUCGGGAGUUCGAUUCUCCCAGGAUCCA
rnacentral:tRNA from 1 species